CUCGCCACAAAUCCAAAAUUCAAAGUCAAUGAAAAGGCUCGCUUGAGUGAACAGAGAGCUCCGAGGGGAGAAAGGAAAGAUUCUUGCUUCUGAAGAAAAACCCACACAAGCCAUGGCUUCUCAUUCUCACCCUUCCAGCCCUAUCUGUUUCUUCAAGAUCAUCUUGAAAUCCAAUCUUGAAUCCAUUAGGAUUCCAAACAAAUUUACUGGGAGAUAUGGAAGUGGUUUGUCAAACCCAGUGUUUCUAAAGCCUCCUGAUGGGAAAGAGUGGAAAAUGCAUCAGACAAAACAUGACAAUGAGAUUUGGUUUCAAGAGGGUUGGAAGGAAUUUGCCAGCUUUUACUCUUUGGAUGAAGGGCAUUUGGUUUUGUUCAAAUAUGAAGGAACUUGUCAGUUUGAUGUACACAUAUUCGAUAAGAGUGCACUAGAAAUAGACUAUCCUUCUUCAUCUAAGAAUAAUCUCAGUGAUGAUACACUUGAAAUCUUGGAUGAGAUGCCUCCAAACCAAAAGGCUACGCACAAAACGCCUUUGUCAUCUUCUAGGCCUUGUAAGAAAAUGAGAAGUCUGCAGAAUUUGCCGGUGGCCUUCAAAACUAAUCCCGGCCAGUGUCAAGGAACAGAGUUCCAGAAAUCAACCAAUGCAGAAUUGAAGCUUUGUAAGCAGGAACCAGAGGAUGAUGGGGAAUCAGGAAUUUUUACCAAGAGUACUGCCUGCUUGAAUUCUGAGCAAAGAAGGAAGAAAGCGACAACUACCGUGGAAAAGAUCAGAGCUUUAAUCAGUGCCAGUUCUUUCAAAUCUGAAAAUCCCUUUUUCAAGGUAGUCAUGCAGCCUUCACAUGUCAGUGGUAAAUGUUACUUGGUGAUGCCUAUAAAAUUUGCUAAAAGACAUUUGAAGAAAGAGUGUGGUGUUGUGCAACUUGAGGUCUUGGAUGGGAGAACUUGGCCUGCUAGGUAUAAGAUUCCCAUAAUUGGAGUUGGAUGGGAGAAAUUUGUAAUGGAUAAUGGUUUGAACGUGGGUCAUGUUUGUGUUUUUGAAAUGAUCGGUCGCACAUUCAAAGUACAUAUUUUCAGAGACGAUGAAGAAGGAAAUCUGAAUGUUAUUCCUUUUAAAGAUGAGCAAAUCAGCAGUUUGCAACAGACUCCUCUUGAAGAGGCUAGCUCUUUCAAAUCUGAACAUCCUCAUUUUAUGGUUAAGAUGACACAUGCUUACAUUUUUCGUGGCUCAAACUUGAUGUUGCACUUCUUUUUCGUUUAGGAGGUGGAGCAUCUUCAACUUGGGAAGCUCUAGGUUCAAAAGCAAGUCAAAACCACAGAAAAGAAGCAAUUAUCAACAGAGGAGCCUAGAGGUCGAACCUAGAGCUGGAGCAUGCUGCUGCGUUUGUAUGCGGGCGUCUGCUAGCAGAGUAGAGCUGAGGUCGAUGCUGGAGGUGGAAGCCUAGAGCGUGUGUCUGCGUGCGUGCGUGUGCUAGCUAAAGCCGCGAUGAAGAAGGACUUGAAUGUUGCGUCUGCUAGCUGGAGGCUUGGAGCUGGAAGAAGGACGAGAAUCUCACACAAGCCGCGAUGAAGAUCAGGUGAACAGUGGAGAAAUUAGCCAGGCGAACUUGCGAAGUGGUGGACGCCGGACGAAACGACAGGGCAGACGAAGAUGACGCCGGACAGAACACCGAUAAUAGCUGAAGCAAUCUCAACUCUCACAGGCGAAGAUGAAGAUGAUCUCACGGCAUCACACUGGUUACGGUACGGGUAGAUGAAUGAUGAAGCGAGGCCGCGAGGUUUUUGAUUUCUGAAGCAGUGGAGCUUAGGACUGGAUUGAUUUGGAGUUUUGGACAACUGGACAAGGUCACGAAGCGUGGGUUCUAAUCUGACUCUAGAGCUUGGACUGGAUCACUGUGGACGGUAGCAGUUGCACUAGCAGACCACUGGAUUGAAGUUUGCCAAAAAAAAAUAUAAUAUAUAUACGGGCGGGUAUGGGCCACCCGAGAGUUAACCCGUUACCCGCCUGUUUAUACUUAUACAGGUAUUACCCGCCCAUACCCGUUUUCCUUCCCUCACUAAAUGGGUAUGGGUUGACCCGUUUCUAAACGGGUAGGGUGGGUUUGGGCGAGUUGAUGGGUUUUCGGGUAUAUUGCACACCCCUACUUAAAAGCAAGUCGAGGAAGGCAAUAGAAAAGCAAAAUUCAAGCUGGCGCUGUGGGAAAAAUGAAAAGGCUUGCUUGGAUGAACAGAGAGCACUGAGGAAGGAGGAAAGAUUCUUGCUUCUAAAGAAAAGCCCAUACAAACAAUGGCUUCUCAUUCUCACCCAUCCAGGCCUAUCUAUUUGUUCAAAAUCAUCUUGAAAUCCAAUCUUGGAUCCAUUCAAACACAACUUCACAGAGGAAUCCAAACAAAUUUACUGGGAGAUAUGGAAGUUGUUUGUCAAGCCCAGUGUUUCUAAAGCCUCCUGAUGGGAAAGAGUGGAAAGUGCAUUGGACCAAACAUGAUAAUGAGGUUUGGUUUCAAGAUGAUUGGAUGGAAUUUGCUAGCCUUUUCUCUCUGGACGAAGGGCAUUUGGUUUUGUUCAAAUAUGAAGGAACUUGUCAGUUUGAUGUACUCAUAUUCAAUAACUGCGCGCUAGAAAUAGACUAUCUUUCUUCAUCUAAAAAUAAUCUCAGUGAUGAUACUGUUGAAGCCUUGGAUGACAUGCCUGCAAACCGAAAGGCUGUGCGCAAAACACCUUUGUCAUCUUCUAGGCCUUGUAAGAAAAUGAGGAGUCUGCAGAAUUUGCCGGUGGCCUUCAAAACUAAUCCCGGUCAGUGUCAAGGAACAGAAUUCCAGAAAUCAACCAAUGCAGAAUUGAAGCUUUGUAAGCAGGAACCAGAGGAUGAUGGGGAAGCAGGAGAUUUUACCAAGAGUUCAACAUGCUUGAAUCCAAGCAUAGAAGGAAGAAAGCAUUGACUACUGUGGAAACGAUCAGAGCUUUAAUCAGUGCCAGUUCUUUCAAACCUGAAAAUCCCUUUUUCAGGGCAGUCAUGCAGCCUUCACAUGUCAGUGGUAAAUGUUACUUGGUGGUGCCAACAAAUUUGCUGAAAGACAUUUGAAGAAAGACUGUGGUGUUGUGCAACUUGAGGCCUUAGAUGGGAGAACUUGGCCUGCCCGGUAUAAGAUUCCAAGAAUCGAAGAUGGAUGGGAGAAGUUUGUAAUGAAAAAUGAUUUGAAAUGGGUCAAGUUUGUGUUUUUGAGCUGAUCGGUCACACAUUCAAAGUACAUAUUUUUAGAGAUGAAGAAGAAGUUAAAAGCAGGAAGAGGACUUGCAAUCUUGCAGAAGAUCUGAAAGCUAUUCCUUUUAAAAAGGAGCAGAUCAGCAGUAUGCAACAGACUAGUUCUUUCAAAUAUGAAAAUCCUCAUUUUAUGGUUAAGACGACCCAUGCUUAUAUUCAUGGCACAUCAAACUAAGAUGUGCCAUCACAAUUUUCAAGAACACAUCUUCAUGACUGUACUAAGAGUGUCAAACUUCUUGUACAAGAUGCAGAUUGGCCUGUUGAGUACGUAGUUAGAAUAACUUAUCCAGGAAGUCAAGUUCGUGAAUUUUCUUGUGGAUGGAAGCGAUUUUGCCAGGAUAAUGCCUUGAAAGUAGGUGACGUUUGCAUCUUUGAGCUCAUUCCGGGCGUCAAACAUACAUUUUGAGUAAUAAUUUUACGAGCCACAAAACACCUAGUUUACUCCAUGAGCUCAGGUAAAGAGAAAAACCAAUUCAGUCACAAAAUUAUGGAUUAUUCUGUCUGAUCUGCUGGACAAUAAUUCUGAAACUUUCUUCAAAUCACACUUUCAAGGGUGGAGAAUAGACUCAAAUCCUCUUCAGUGACUCAAAACUUACCAGUCGAUUUCGAAUGUUUUAUUGCUUUCAAUUUUCUUUUGACAUUGUGCAGUUGGGGAGCAGGAAGCCAACACAGUUCAUUGCAGCUUAGGUCCUGAGAUUCACUUCUGAGAAUAACUUCUUUCGCUGUAUAUGGACUUGUCAUUUGCUGAACACCAGUAUGGUUUAAUUAGGGAACAGAAUAUGUUUUGCUUUGUGAGACAUAAAGAUCAUUAGCUCUUGGCGUAUUUCAUGAACAACUUUGGAGUACAACCAUAUACACUAUAUGAAAUGCUUGUUAUCAAGG